UCCGGUUUGGCACCGGCAGUCUCCCUAGAGUCCCCGCCAUGACGCGCUGGCAACUAAGGACAGGGGUUGCGCUCGUUGCGGGACUUAACCCAACAUUUCACAACACGAGCUGACGACAGCCAUGCACCACCUGUACACCGGCAAAAGGGGCCCCAUCUCUGAGGCUUUCCGGUGUAUGUCAAACCCAGGUAAGGUUCUUCGCGUUGCAUCGAAUUAAUCCGCAUGCUCCACCGCUUGUGCGGGCCCCCGUCAAUUCCUUUGAGUUUCAGUCUUGCGACCGUACUCCCCAGGCGGAGUGCUUAAUGCGUUAGCUGCAGCACUAAGGGGCGGAAACCCCCUAACACUUAGCACUCAUCGUUUACGGCGUGGACUAC
rnacentral:misc_RNA from 1 species